AGUUUGAUCCUGGCUCAGAAUGAAACCUGGCGGUGUGCCUAACACAUGCAAGUCAAACGACAAUUUAUUUGGAGUGGCGGACGGGUGAGUAACACGUAAGAACCUACCUUUAGGAGGGGGAUACCAUCCCGGGAAACUGGUGCUAAUACCCCAUAUGCUGAGAAGUGAAAUGGUAUUUAACCGCCUAGAGAGGGGCUUGCGGCUGAUUAGCUAGUUGGUGGGGUAAUGGCCUCCCAAGGCGACGAUCAGUAGCUGGUUUGAGAGGAUGAUCAGCCACACUGGGACUGAGACACGGCCCAGACUCCUACGGGAGGCAGCAGUGAGGAAUUUUCCGCAAUGGGCGAAAGCCUGACGGAGCAAUACCGCGUGGAGGAAAAAGAA
rnacentral:rRNA from 1 species